rnacentral:scRNA from 1 species
ACGGAGGUAAAGAAAGUGAGGCAAAUGGAGUUUGUUGCCGUCACUGAAACUCGCCUCCAAAAUCAACUAGCAGAGAGAAUAUCCUUGGUUUGGAGUGAAAAACCUUGGAUAGCUGCAUUUGCUUACAAAA